GAACUGCGAUAAGUAAUGUGAAUUGCAGAAUUCAGUGAAUCAUCGAGUCUUUGAACGCACAUUGCGCCCCCUGGCAUUCCGGGGGGCAUGCCUGUCCGAGCGUCAUUGCUGCCCUUCAAGCCCGGCUUGUGUGUUGGGUCGUCGUCCCCUCCGGGGGACGGGCCCGAAAGGCAGCGGCGGCACCGCGUCCGGUCCUCGAGCGUAUGGGGCUUUGUCACCCGCUCGAUAAGGACCGGCCGGGCGCCAGCCGUCGUCUCCAACCUUUUUUUCUCAGGUUGACCUCGGAUCAGGUAGGGAUACCCGCUGAACUUAAGC
rnacentral:misc_RNA from 1 species